GACGAACGCUGGCGGCGUGCUUAACACAUGCAAGUCGAACGGAAAGGCCCUGCUUUUGUGGGGUGCUCGAGUGGCGAACGGGUGAGUAACACGUGAGUAACCUGCCCUUGACUUUGGGAUAACUUCAGGAAACUGGGGCUAAUACCGGAUAGGAGCUCCUGCUGCAUGGUGGGGGUUGGAAAGUUUCGGCGGUUGGGGAUGGACUCGCGGCUUAUCAGCUUGUUGGUGGGGUAGUGGCUUACCAAGGCUUUGACGGGUAGCCGGCCUGAGAGGGUGACCGGCCACAUUGGGACUGAGAUACGGCCCAGACUCCAACGGGAGGCAGCAGUGGGGAAUAUUGCACAAUGGGCGGAAGCCUGAUGCAGCCACGCCGCGUGCGGGAUGACGGGCUUCGGGUUGUAAACCGCUUUCGCCUGUGACGAAGCGUGAGUGACGGUAAUGGGUAAAGAAGCACCGGCUAACUACGUG
rnacentral:rRNA from 1 species